UCUCUCUCCAGGCCAUGGAUUCCACCCAGAACUGACAUCCUGGCCUCCAGGCUUCAGGCCAUUAUUGGCUUGAAGGUGGGGCUUCACCAGGGACCCUCCCCUUCCUGCCUAGUAGCCUAUCUGCCUCCUGGGCUGACGUGUCAGCCAGUGCACCCAGGAUGUUCGUGCUGAGGCACCUGCGGACCCGUGCGGGGCUGCCCUCAGGCCCCACGCAGCCCCCCUCCCGUACUCGUUGACGUCCAAAGUCUGGAGGAGGCCGAGGGUUCAGGGCACUGGCAUGCCAGUGCCACCCCAAGCAUGGACACACCCGGCCUGGUUGCAGGAGCUCCCAGGCUCGGCCACAACUUUGCUCCCACCCGGAGUGGGUGCCAGGAGCGGGGAGAGGCCAGGCCCUGGGAGCAGGAACUUUCAAGCCUGCAGAGACAAGGGACUUCCUGGGCCCCGAGAGUGCAGCGAUGCCUGGGUCCUGGGCCGUGGCUGGGUGGCUGCAGCUGCACCUGGAGUGCGGGGCUCCUGGAGUGUCCCGCUCCUGCCCCACUGACUCCGUACAGUGCAGGGCUCCCCACUGUUGCCGGCCCCUGCUGGCUCCGCGAAGUAUGCAGCCCUGGCCGCGCCUACCCCGCUGCAGUGGAUGUCUUUGCAGCAGCCCCUCCAGAUGGGCCGCCGCUGCCAUCAGUAGUAUUUGGGGAUUCACCCAGCAUUCCCUAGAGAGAAGGCUUCUCCUCUCUCAUGGUCGCCAGGACCAGCUGGAACAACCAGUGCUCUGGCUGAAGACCUCUACAGGUAGACAGGCGGCAAGAUACUGCUGGGGCCCACUUUCUUCAUCAUUUUCUGGUGAUGGUUUACUUCAUGUAGAUAUGGACUUUGAUUUUGCUUCUGCAGUUCUCAAAAUUCUAGGAUACAUUUUGUUCAAAACUAAAAUGAAACUUACAAAAAUAUCUUCAGAAAAGAAAUAUAAGACCUGA
rnacentral:lncRNA from 1 species